GACGUAGGGCGCGAGCGUUGUCCGGAUUUAUUGGGCGUAAAGAGCUCGUAGGCGGCUUGUCGCGUCGACUGUGAAAACCCGCGGCUCAACUGUGGGCUGCAGUCGAUACGGGCAGGCGUGGAGUUCGGUAGGGGAGACUGGAAUUCCUGGUGUAGCGGUGAAAUGCGCAGAUAUCAGGAAGAACACCAACGGCGAAGGCAGCUCGCUAGGACGGAACUGACGCUGAGGCGCGAAAGCGUGGGGAGCGAACAGG
rnacentral:rRNA from 1 species